AACGAACGCUGGCGGUAUGCCUAACACAUGCAAGUCGAACGAGAGCUUCGGGUCUAGUGGCGCACGGGUGCGUAACGCGUGGGAAGGUGCAGUUAGGUUCGGAAUAAUUCUUCGAAAGGGGUGCUAAUGUCGGAUAAUGUAUUCGGAUCAAAGAUUUAUCGUCUUUGGAUGGGCCGGGGUUGGAUUAGCCAGUUGGUAGGGUAAAAGCCUACGAAGGCGACGAUCCAUAGCUGGUCUGAGAGGAUGAUCAGCCACUCUGGGACUGAGACACGGCCCAGACUCCUGCGGGAGGCAGCAGUGCGGAAUAUUGGACAAUGGGCUAAAUCCUGAUCCAGCAAUGCCGCGUGAGUGAUGAAGUCCUUAGGGUUGUAAAGCUCUUUUACCCGGGAUGAUAAUGACAGUACCGAGAGAAUAAGCACCGGCUAACUCCGUG
rnacentral:rRNA from 1 species